rnacentral:tRNA from 1 species
GCCCUGUUAGCUCAGUUGGUUAGAGCACUGUGCUAAUAACGCAGGGGUCACAGGUUCGAGCCCUGUACGGGGCA